rfam:Picea glauca, whole genome shotgun sequence.
AUGUACAUUCUUAUAAUAUAGAAUUAAUGCACCGUAUCUGAUUAGAACUCCAUAGUUAAGCACUUUCGGGAUUGAGUAGUACUAGGAUGGGUGACCACCUAAGAAGUCCUAUUGUUUUACAUU